UCCCUGGUGGCUCAGAAGGUAAAGCGUCUGCCUACAAUGCAGGAGACCCAGGUUCAAUCCCUGGAUUGGGAA
rnacentral:tRNA from 1 species